GCUUGCUUCGGCCGCACAGAUACCAACAUUGGAAUGAUACAGAGAAGAUGAGCAGGGCCCCUGUGCAAGGAAGACAAGCAAAUUCGUGAAGCGUUCCAUAUUUUU